GACCGAAUAAGUUUCGAAACAAUGCGACGGCAAAAAAUGCAAAAAUCCUGAUUUUCGUAAUAGAAUCUUGGAUUUAUCAUGUAGGCCCCGCCUGCGCUAGGUAUGCGUUAGCAAUCUAGAUCUCCUAUAUCUAUGAUUUAAUCCUCCCCCGUGCCCUCCAAAAUCCUGCCCGUGGCAGGCCCAUAAAACUGAGGGCCUGCCACGCAGGCUACCCCACAUCAAGAGUAAAAUAUCGCAGUUGGUUAUUCGAUGGUGAUUUGAUGAUGGUAUUUUAAAUUAGUGGACUAAAAUUCUGUCACCUGUUGGUCACGUGGGUUUCGGCUUAUCUUGUCUUUUCUUUGAUGCGCUAUGCAAGCGUUUUCUUCGCAAGCUCAGAUGAUUAUUGUACAGCCAUUUUUCACCGUGCUCAUGGAAUAACUAUGAAACCAAAAAGG